UUGGUGUAUUGUAUUCAUUGUUCUGGUACGAGAUCGCGACAGUUUGGGCUUUUUGAUUCUACUUGACUACAACAUAUAUCCAAAGCUAUAUUUUAAAGCUCUGUAAAACUAUUGGUACACGAAUUUUGUCGGUGGACUGCACCGACUGCUCGGAGUAUAUUAUCGUGGUCUUCCUGUUUUUUAAGGGUAUGCCUGUGGUUUUACGGAGCGUGGUAAAUUCAAAAUGGCGGCUUGCAUAUGAGCUCUUACCUCUUACCCCGGUUACACGACUAUCGCCUAUACGACUUCCUCUGUCUGCCAAAAAUUUUUACAUGAAUGAUACAUUCCUAUCGGAUCUUGAUUAAAAUUCCACUUCAAUAACAACAUCUGACAAGCAAAUUAGAAAUACCCCUACCCGGAAAUGGGUGGAAAUAUUCAAGUGCAAUUCUGGUCAACUAUACAGAAAGUAACGAAGAACUCUCAACCCUCCUGGAGGUGUACACUGUAUACUAUAGGCCACAUAUCAAAGUUUGUAUAUACUGGCUCUUAGAAGCUAUACGCUCAUCUCGCUUCUGAUUACUUUGUCUGUUUCGGACACACACAAUAAGAGCCAUUUUGACCCAAGGUCUUUGUUCUCGUAUUUCUAUAUGCCCAGGUGGCAUGGUGUAAACACAAGACUAAACAACUCAUAGUCAGCAUAAAGCCAAUUCAAUAUAAACUAUUAGUACGCUGGUGUUUUUUGUUCGAAUGUUUAAUGGACACGGCAAAAGAAAUUACUAGCGCUUGAGGCAAUAUAUAUUUUUUUAUUUCAGGUGCGCGUUCGCAGAAUAUUUCCCUGUAUUGUUUUAUUAUUCUAUAGUAAGACCGAAGGUUAAUAAUUGUGCC